rnacentral:rRNA from 1 species
AGUGAACGCUGGCGGUAGGCCUAACACAUGCGAGUCGAACGGCAGCACAGUAAGAGCUUGCUCUUACGGGUGGCGAGUGGCGGACGGGUGAGGAAUACAUCGGAAUCUACUUUUUCGUGGGGGAUAACGUAGGGAAACUUACGCUAAUACCGCAUACGACCUACGGGUGAAAGCAGGGGAUCUUCGGACCUUGCGCGAUUGAAUGAGCCGAUGUCGGAUUAGCUAGUUGGCGGGGUAAAGGCCCACCAAGGCGACGAUCCGUAGCUGGUCUGAGAGGAUGAUCUGCCACACUGGAACUGAGACACGGUCCAGACUCCUACGGGAGGCAGCAGUGGGGAAUAUUGGACAAUGGGCGCAAGCCUGAUCCAGCCAUACCGCGUGGGUGAAGAAGGCCUUCGGGUUGUAAAGCCCUUUUGUUGGGAAAGAAAAGCAGCAGGUUAAUACCCCGCUGUUCUGACGGUACCCAAAGAAUAAGCACCGGCUAACUUCGUG